rnacentral:rRNA from 1 species
AGUGAGCGGCAAAGCUCAAUUUGAAUCUGGCUUUUCGGCGCCCGAGUUGUUUUUGAAGAUUGUUCCCUGGUGGUUGGCUCUUGUCGACCUUUGUUGAACCGGGCCUUCGCGGAGGGGAAAAACCCGGCGGGACGGGAGGCCCAAUCCUGCCCAAUUUGCUUCCCAAGAUGCAAGUGGUUAG